GACGAACGCUGGCGGCGUGCCUAAUACAUGCAAGUAGAACGCACAGUUUAUACCGUAGCUUGCUACACCAUAAACUGUGAGUUGCGAACGGGUGAGUAACGCGUAGGUAACCUGCCUGGUAGCGGGGGAUAACUAUUGGAAACGAUAGCUAAUACCGCAUAAUAUUGAUUAUUGCAUGAUAAUUGAUUGAAAGAUGCUAUUGCAUCACUACCAGAUGGACCUGCGUUGUAUUAGCUAGUAGGUGAGGUAACGGCUCACCUAGGCGACGAUACAUAGCCGACCUGAGAGGGUGAUCGGCCACACUGGGACUGAGACACGGCCCAGACUCCUACGGGAGGCAGCAGUAGGGAAUCUUCGGCAAUGGACGAAAGUCUGACCGAGCAACGCCGCGUGAGUGAAGAAGGUUUUCGGAUCGUAAAGCUCUGUUGUAAGAGAAGAGCGGGUGUGAGAGUGGAAAGUUCACACUGUGACGGUAUCUUACCAGAAAGGGACGGCUAACUACGUG
rnacentral:rRNA from 1 species